rnacentral:rRNA from 1 species
GACGAACGCUGGCGGCGUGCUUAACACAUGCAAGUCGAACGGAAAGGCCCUGCUUGUGUGGGGUGCUCGAGUGGCGAACGGGUGAGUAACACGUGAGUAACCUGCCCUUGACUUUGGGAUAACUUCAGGAAACUGGGGCUAAUACCGGAUAGGAGCUCCUGCUGCAUGGUGGGGGUUGGAAAGUUUCGGCGGUUGGGGAUGGACUCGCGGCUUAUCAGCUUGUUGGUGGGGUAGUGGCUUACCAAGGCUUUGACGGGUAGCCGGCCUGAGAGGGUGACCGGGCACAUUAGGACUGAGAUACGGCCCAGACUCCUACGGGAGGCAGCGGUGGGGAAUAUUGCACAAUGGGCGGGAGCCUGAUGCAGCAACGCCGCGUGCGGGAAGACGGCCUUCGGGUUGGAAACCGCUUUCGCCUGUGACGAGGCGUGAGUGACGGUAAUGGGUAAAGAAGCACCGGCUAACUACGUG